rnacentral:rRNA from 1 species
CUAUGCGCCUUGCCACGCCCGCUCAGAAACUUAAAUGAAGUUGACGGGGCCCGCACAAGCGGUGGAGCAUGUGGUUCAAUUCGACGCAACGCGAAGAACCUUACCUGGGCUAGACAACAGUGGACCGUCCUAGAGAUAGGAUUUUCCCUUCGGGGACCGCUGGUUCAGGUGCUGCAUGGCUGUCGUCAGCUCGUGCCGUGAGGUGUUGGGUUAAGUCCCGCAACGAGCGCAACCCUCGUACUUAGUUGCCACCAUUCAGUUGGGCACUCUAGGUAGACUGCCGGCGUUAAGCCGGAGGAAGGUGGGGACGACGUCAAGUCAUCAUGGCCCUUAUGCCCAGGGCCACACACGUGCUACAAUGGGCGGCACAAAGGGUCGCGAACCCGCGAGGGGGAGCCAAUCCCAAAAAGCCGUUCUCAGUUCGGAUUGGAGUCUGCAACUCGACUCCAUGAAGUUGGAAUCGCUAGUAAUCGCGGAUCAGCACGCCGCGGUGAAUACGUUCCCGGGCCUU